AAUCAUGGCUCGGGAUGAACGCUAGCUACAGGCUUAACACAUGCAAGUCGAGGGUGCAGCAUGACGGAAGCUUGCUUUCGUUGAUGGCGACCGGCGCACGGGUGAGUAACGCGUAUCCAACCUGCCCUUGUCCAUCGGAUAACCCGUCGAAAGGCGGACUAACACGAUAUGCAGUUCACAGCAGGCAUCUAACGUGAACGAAUGUAAAGGAGAAGGAGUGGGGAUGCGU
rnacentral:rRNA from 1 species